UACGAAGGGGGCUAGCGUUGUUCGGAAUCACUGGGCGUAAAGCGCACGCAGGCGGAUUGAUAAGUCAGGGGUGAAAUCCUGGAGCUCAACUCCAGAACUGCCUUCGAUACUGGAAAGCUCGAGUCCGGGAGAGGUGAGUGGAACUGCGAGUGUAGAGGUGAAAUUCGUAGAUAUUCGCAAGAACACCAGUGGCGAAGGCGGCUCACUGGCCCGGCACUGACGCUGAGGUGCGAAAGCGUGGGGAGCAAACAGG
rnacentral:rRNA from 1 species